GACGAACGCUGGCGGCGUGCCUAACACAUGCAAGUCGAGCGGAGAUACCAGCAAUGGUAUCCUAGCGGCGGACGGGUGAGUAACACGUAAGCAAUCUGGUCCUUACAGGGGAAUAACAUUGAGCAAUCAGUGCUAAUACCGCAUAAGACCACAAUGUCUCAUGACGAAGUGGUAAAAGGAGCAAUCCGGUAGGGAAUGAGCUUGCGUCCCAUUAGCGAGUUGGAGGGGGAAUGGCCCACCAAGGCAACGAUGGGUGGCCGGACUGAGAGGUUGAACGGCCCAACGGGGACUGAGACACGGCCCAGACUCCUACGGGAGGAAGCAGUGGGGAAUAUUGGGCAAUGGGGGAAACCCUGACCCAGCAACGCCGCGUGAGAGAAGAAGGUCUUCGGAUUGUAAAUCUCUGUCUUUGGGGACGAAAAAAAUGACGGUACCCAAAGAGGAAGCCCCGGCUAACUACGUGCCAGCCGCCGCCGUAA
rnacentral:rRNA from 1 species